GUGAGUGUAGCUCAGUUGGUAGAGCCCCGGAUUGUGAUUCCGGUUGUCGUGGGUUCGAGCCCCAUCAUUCACCCCA
rnacentral:tRNA from 2 species